GAAAAUUGCCGUUAAUACAUAUCGGAAGCAACGUCCUCAGCUGCUCCAAUUUGCAGAGGGGUGUCAGUUCCUCAAAGUCACCACCAUAUCCCAUUGAAAAAGAUAAGUGUCGACUUUCUUCCAACAUAUGAGAUCCUUGGCUCUCUUCCAACCUGAUACAAAGUUUUGAAGAUGCAAUUUGGGCUAAAUCAUUGACAAGGUCAUGCAUAAGGAAUAAUUCCUCUAUGUUUCCUUCAGAAGGAUUUGGGACCCUUUCUAAUAAUGAUCUUGAUCUCAACUCGAGAAAGUAUUGGUUGCCUAAAUGUUGAAUUAUUUCAUCUUUCAC
rnacentral:misc_RNA from 1 species